AGGGGACACCGAGUGCCAGCAUCAUAUGCUGGCUGUCCGGAUGUGUAAAAUACAUCCGUUAGCAAGGGCCGGGCAAGACCGGUGCCAGCCGCCGCGGUAACACCGGCGGCCCGAGUGGUGAUCGUGAUUAUUGGGUCUAAAGGGUCCGUAGCCGGUUUGGUCAGUCCUCCGGGAAAUCUGAUAGCUCAACUAUUAGGCUUUCGGGGGAUACUGCCAGACUUGGAACCGGGAGAGGUAAGAGGUACUACAGGGGUAGGAGUGAAAUCUUGUAAUCCCUGUGGGACCACCUGUGGCGAAGGCGUCUUACCAGAACGGGUUCGACGGUGAGGGACGAAAGCUGGGGGCACGAACCGGAUUAGAUACCCGGGUAGUCCCAGCCGUAAACGAUGCUCGCUAGGUGUCAGGCAUGGCGCGACCGUGUCUGGUGCCGCAGGGAAGCCGUGAAGCGAGCCACCUGGGAAGUACGGCCGCAAGGCUGAAACUUAAAGGAAUUGGCGGGGGAGCACAACAACGGGUGGAGCCUGCGGUUUAAUUGGACUCAACGCCGGACAACUCACCGGGGGCGACAGCAAUAUGUAGGCCAAGCUGAAGACUUUGCCUGAAUCGCUGAGAGGAGGUGCAUGGCCGUCGCCAGUUCGUACUGUGAAGCAUCCUGUUAAGUCAGGCAACGAGCGAGACCCGUGCCCACUGUUACCAGCAUGUCCUCCGGGACGAUGGGUACUCUGUGGGGACCGCCGAUGUUAAAUCGGAGGAAGGUGCGGGCCACGGUAGGUCAGUAUGCCCCGAAUCUCCCGGGCUACACGCGGG
rnacentral:rRNA from 1 species